AUUUUUGCUUUAUCCUACAUAUCGGUCUUUUAAUGUUGUCUCUAAUACCUAAAAGUCUUAAAUUACAAUAAGUCUUUGUUUUUGUUUUGGGACCUGAUUGUCGAAAAAAAUAUCUAAAUAGUUAUCAAAAGUACCAGGAUUAUAAUUUAGUACGCCAGAUGCGCGUUUCGUCUACAUAAGACUCAUCAGUGACUCUCAUAUCAAAAUAGUUAUAAAUAUUAAUUAAGCCGUUUCAAUGCAAGAAAGAGUCUGGGAAACGCUCAGAAUGCACGAUUUUGCGUUAUUUUUCUUAGAGCUUCUGGGCCCUUAAGUGGCCCCCAGACCCCUCGCCCAACAUUUUUCGCCUCACUAUUAAAAGAGGCUAGUUACG
rnacentral:lncRNA from 1 species